rnacentral:rRNA from 1 species
AUGAUAAGCCAUCCGUUGGCAUAUGCCGCACCCAACUCCCGACAUUUGGCGUCCACCGUGGGGCGGUACUAUGCUACCAUUCUGCUGCUGGUUUCGCAGUCCGGGCGGGACCAUUUUUUGUCUUCACCGCCGUGGCGUCGCGCCGUCUCUCCAGCAGCGGUCGGGGGCUCGACAUCGACACGCCCCCGGAGUGGCCGCGAGGAGCGGCACGUCCUCGUCGUUGGCCUCGCCAUCUUCGUCAUCUCCGCGACGACGUCGCCGCCAUCUCUUCGGCCGGGCUCUACAUUGACCCGUCCCCGGAGCGACCACGCGAGACGACGCAUCCUCGUCGUCGGCUUCGGCCUCUUCGUCACCACUGCUGCGACGCCGACCGUCCGUCGCAGCUCCGCGUUGCUCCACCCGCACGGAUACAUCGCCUGUACACUAGCCAGUACACAACCCAUAUAUGUCCUAGAUAUUGGCCAUACACUACGUCCUACACUUGCCAGAUACAAGUCGUACACUUCCCGUACACGAGUUAGAUAUCAUCGCCAUCAAGCUCCGCCCAGUGCUAUGUCCGUUGCUCCAGCUCGUCUCCUAGUGCGGCCGUGCCACCGAGCUCCUCCCCACAGCUGCCGCUCCCGAGCGCGUUCAUGGCCUCGCCUCCUCUCGCGCUGCUCCGCUUGCUGCCAGCGGCGGCGUGGACGCCCACUACCUCUCGUUCCUCUCUUAGGCGCUAGCGCAUGCAGAAAACAAAAAGUCAAACUUCUGGGCAAGAACAAAAGCAUCCCUCGUGUCUCUCGUCACCGUGCAGCCCGACACGUGCCCGUGGCCGGCCUCCUCCGCGGCUGCACGGCCGCGCGCCGGCGGCUCUGCGUGCUGCACCAUUCUCCUCUGCCACGACGCCGGCUCCUUCGCUGCUCCGGCUGCUUCUCUGCCGGCUCUGCAUGCGCUUUGUGCUUACCAGCUCCGUCCCUGCAAGCGCCGCCGGACUCCCUCGCCAAGCGUUGCCCGGCCUCUGCGUCGCCGGCGUGGCCUACACCCCGGCCCCGCAGCCGGCCUCACCUCCUCCGACCUUCGGGCCGGGUCGCCGCACCACCCUACUCGGCCACCCCGCACCAGCUGGCCCCGUCUGCGUGCUGUGGCCGCCUGCUCAGCGCCUCCGCCCCUCCACCGCCUGCUACGCGCGCGCCGGCAGUGCUGCACCGCCUCGCUCCACCCGUCCGCUUCCGGCUGCUUUACGACGCCGUGCCUGGAUCUCCCUCCGCGCCAAGAUCCACUCCCGAGCGCCCCCGACGUCCGCGCUCCGUCGCCGCUCCGGCAACGUCGCUCCCCGGCGCUCGCCCCUGCCGCCGCACCCAGCUCCGGCACGACGCACCGCGCGCCCCUCGCCCGAGUCUGCGCCUUGCGGUGCGGCCCCAGUUUCCGCCCGUCAGCGAGCAGCGCCAGGCCGCCCCGACCGCCGGCUUGCGCUCGCGCCGGCCUCUCCUGCGUCCGGCUGCGCCCCGCGAGCCCCCGCCGGGUCCUCCCCAUCGCCUGGGUCGCGCCUCCGCCUUCUCUUCGGCACCGCGCCUCCUGCAAGCCGUCCCCGGCCUCCCGCGCCGUCUCCGCUCGCGGGCCGGCUUGCGGUUCGCCAGUUCUGCCGUCCGCCUCCCGGCCGCGUGCGCCUGCCCAGGGCGCGCUUGCACUCCCGCGCUGGCCGGCCAUUCGCCCCACGCCGGCUCCGCCCCGCCAGCCGGCCUCCGCAUCCAGCGCUGGCCCCUGGCCGGCUCCCCUGCGCCGCCUGGCCACGAGUCCGCCGGCUGCUCCUGCAUCCGGCUGCGCCCGGCGAGUCCCAGCCAGGUCCUGCCGCGGCCGCCUGCUGAGAAAGAAAGAAAGCAGAGGCUGGCUGCCGACGCUGGCUAA